CAAGCGUUACUCGGAAUUACUGGGUGUAAAGCGUGCGUAGGUGGUUCGUUAAGUCUGUCGUGAAAGCCCCGGGCUCAACCUGGGAAUGGCGAUGGAUACUGGCGGGCUAGAGUGCGGUAGAGGGUGGUGGAAUUCCCGGUGUAGCAGUGAAAUGCGUAGAGAUCGGGAGGAACAUCAGUUGCGAAGGCGGCCACCUGGACCAGCACUGACACUGAGGCACGAAAGCGUGGGGAGCAAACAGG
rnacentral:rRNA from 1 species